GUCCACGCCCUAAACGAUGUCAACUAGGUGUUGGGUGGGUAAACCAUUAGUACCGGAGCUAACGCGUGAAGUUGACCGCCUGGGGAGUACUGCCGCAAGGUUAAAACUCAAAGGAAUUGACGGGGACCCGCACAAGCGGUGGAUGAUGUGGAUUAAUUCGAUGCAACGCGAAAAACCUUAACCUACCCUUGACAUGUCAGGAACUUGCCAGAGAUGGCUUGGUGCUCGAAAGAGAACCUGAACACAGGUGCUGCAUGGCUGUCGU
rnacentral:rRNA from 1 species